GUAGUCCACGCCGUAAACGAUGGUCACUAGAUGUGGGGGGUGUCGACUCCCUCCGUGUCGUAGCUAACGCGUUAAGUGACCCGCCUGGGGAGUACGGCCGCAAGGCUAAAACUCAAAGGAAUUGACGGGGACCCGCACAAGCAGCGGAGCAUGUGGAUUAAUUCGACGCAACGCGAAGAACCUUACCUGGGCUUGACAUACUGCUGACCGCCGUGGAAACACGGCUUUCCUUCGGGACAGCAAUACAGGUGGUGCAUGGCUGUCGUCAGCUCGUGUCGUGAGAUGUUGGGUUGAGUCCCGCAACGAGCGCAACCCCCGUCCUAUGUUGCCAGCAUUCAGUUGGGGACUCAUAGGAGACUGCCGGUGACAAACCGGAGGAAGGUGGGGAUGACGUCAAGUCAUCAUGCCCCUUAUGUCCAGGGCUUCACACGUGCUACAUUGGCGCAUACAGAGGGCUGCGAUACCGCAAGGUGGAGCGAAUCCCAAAAAGUGCGUCUCGGUUCGGAUUGGGGGCUGAAACUCGCCUCCAUGAAGGCGGAGUUGCUAGUAAUCGCGGAUCAGCAUUGCCGCGGUGAAUACGUUCCCGGGCCUUGUACACACCGCCCGUCACACCACGGAAGCAAGCAACACCCGAAGCCGGUGGCCUAACCCUUUUGGGAGGGAGCCGUCGAAGGUGGGGCUCGUGACUGGGGUG
rnacentral:rRNA from 1 species